AUACAAGAUGGGGAUGUCAAUACCAAAACAUGUGCUACUUGACUUUCUUCGCUAUUUUUAAUAAAAUAAUUUUUUAUUAUAAUUAUUAAAUUAUUUAUUUUUUAUGGUCUGAUCAUUGAUAUUUAACUCAUAUAGAAUGUUUUAUUUGUCCCUCUUUUGCACCACAAAUAUUAUUAAUUAGUUUGUUACCGAAUAUAUCAUUAUUAGUACAUCUAACUGACCUUUGACCACAUGGUAAUAUCAAAAAGGAUUAGCAUGUUUUCGAUCUGAUAAUGAAGUAUUAAAUGACUUCAGGGGC
rnacentral:lncRNA from 1 species